rnacentral:rRNA from 1 species
GACGAACGCUGGCGGCGUGCUUAACACAUGCAAGUCGAACGCUGAAGCUCAGCUUUUGUUGGGUGGAUGAGUGGCGAACGGGUGAGUAACACGUGAGUAACCUGCCUCCUUCUUUGGGAUAACGCCCGGAAACGGGUGCUAAUACUGGAUAUUCACUGGUCUUCGCAUGGGGGUUGGUGGAAAGGGUUUUUCUGGUGGGGGAUGGGCUCGCGGCCUAUCAGCUUGUUGGUGGGGUGAUGGCCUACCAAGGCUUUGACGGGUAGCCGGCCUGAGAGGGUGACCGGUCACAUUGGGACUGAGAUACGGCCCAGACUCCUACGGGAGGCAGCAGUGGGGAAUAUUGCACAAUGGGCGCAAGCCUGAUGCAGCGACGCCGCGUGAGGGAUGGAGGCCGUCGGGUUGUGAACCUCUUUCGCUCAUGGUCAAGCCGCAACAAUGGUUGUGGUGAGGGUAGUGGGUAAAGAAGCGCCGGCUAACUACGUG